AGCAGUCGCCGCGGUAAUACGGAGGGUGCAAGCGUUAAUCGGAAUUACUGGGCGUAAAGCGCACGCAGGCGGUCUGUCAAGUCGGAUGUGAAAUCCCUGAGCUUAACUUAGGAAUUGCAUUCGAUACUGGGAAGCUAGAGUAUGGGAGAGGAUGGUAGAAUUCCAGGUGUAGCGGUGAAAUGCGUAGAGAUCUGGAGGAAUACCGAUGGCGAAGGCAGCCAUCUGGCCUAAUACUGACGCUGAGGUACGAAAGCAUGGGGAGCAAACAGGAUUAGAUACCCGCGUAGUCCCUGUCUCUUAUAC
rnacentral:rRNA from 1 species